UACGUAGGGGGCGAGCGUUGUCCGGAUUCAUUGGGCGUAAAGAGCUCGUAGGCGGCUUGGCAAGCCGGGUGUGAAACCUCCAGGCUCAACCUGGAGACGCCACCCGGGACUGCUAUGGCUAGAGUCCGGUAGGGGAUCACGGAAUUCCUGGUGUAGCGGUGAAAUGCGUAGAUAUCUGAAGGAACACCAGUGGCGAAAGCGGCUUCCUGGUCCAGUACCGACGUUCAGGCACGAAAGCGUGGGGAGCAAACAGG
rnacentral:rRNA from 1 species